rnacentral:rRNA from 1 species
GUGUCAGCAGCCGCGGUAAUACGUAUGGGGCAAGCGUUAUCCGGAUUCAUUGGGCGUAAAGAGCGCGUAGGCGGAUUGUUAAGUCAGAUGUGAAAACCGGGGGCUCAACCCGCGGCCUGCAUCUGAAACUGGCAGUCUUGAGUCUGGUAGAGGAAAGUGGAAUUCCUGGUGUAGCGGUGAAAUGCGCAGAUAUCAGGAGGAACACCAGUGGCGAAGGCGGCUUUCUGGGCCACGACUGACGCUGAGGCGCGAAAGCUAGGGGAGCGAACAGGAUUAGAAACCCCGGUAGUCC